rnacentral:rRNA from 1 species
AUGGGAGACGCCGCCUCCGCCGCGCAGCCUCCGCCCGCGGCGUCGCCCGCCUUCUCCUACCUGGCCGUGUUCGGCAACUGCCCGCUCAUCGCCGCCGUCCUGGCCUUCGCCAUCGCCCAGUCCAUCAAGGUCUUCACCACAUGGUACAAGGAGAACCGGUGGGACGCGAAGCAGCUGGUGGGGUCCGGGGGGAUGCCGUCUUCGCACUCGGCCACCGUCACCGCGCUCGCAGUCGCCAUCGGCCUACAGGAAGGGUUCAGCAGCUCGCUCUUCGCCACCGCUGCCAUCUUCGCCUCUGUGGUGAUGUAUGAUGCUUUUGGUGUUAGGCUACAUGCAGGGAGGCAAGCAGAGGUCUUGAAUCAAAUUGUAUACGAGCUACCAUCAGAGCAUCCACUUGCUGAAACAAGACCGCUGCGAGAGCUCAUAGGACACACGCCUCCUCAGGUUUUUGCUGGCGCGGUGCUUGGAUUUGCAGUAGCCACAUUUACGGGGAUGAUGGCUGGGCUUGGUAACAGUGGUUGA